CUCUGACACAUCAUAAUCUUCAAUGGUGACCAUAUCUUGUAUUGUCUGCAGGGUAGCCUCUGUUGUUUUCUUAACCUGGUAUUAAAAAGCAGAGUUUGCCAAAUGGCAGAUAAAUAUAUACAGGAACAGCUUAGGAGGGAAGCUCAUUACUCACAGUAACUCCCUGGCACACGCCCCCAAACAAACAGGGAUCUGGAUCUAGCCAGAACAACAUGAUCUUCCAAGGAAAAAAAUCUGUGACCCUGUACUGUGCAGUGCUGUGGUGAGGAGCACAGUGAUGUUCAGAUUGCAGAAAUGGAAUACAUUGUUGACAGAGAGGGCUCGAGAAAGAACAAUUUACACCAGACUCCCAGCCCUCCUAUGACCUACAGAGCACCACUGCCCAUAGUGGAAACCUGGGCAUGGAUGCUGUGGACAGGACAAGGGAUGCAGUUUCCACAGUUCAAUAAAGUAACUGGUAAGAUUCACAA